CGGCGUGCUUAACACAUGCAAGUCGAGCGGGGACAGAUGACUUCGGUUGUCUGUUCUAGCGGCGGACGGGUGAGUAACGCGUGAACAAUCUGUCCCAGACAGGGGGAUAACACUUGGAAACAGGUGCUAAUACCGCAUAAGACCACGAGGCGACAUCGCCAUGGGGUAAAAGGAGCAAUCCGGUCUGGGGUGAGUUCGCGUCCGAUUAGCUAGUUGGUGAGGUAACGGCCCACCAAGGCGACGAUCGGUAGCCGACCUGAGAGGGUGAUCGGCCACAUUGGAACUGAGAAACGGUCCAAACUCCUACGGGAGGCAGCAGUGGGGAAUAUUGGGCAAUGGGCGAAAGCCUGACCCAGCAACGCCGCGUGAAGGAAGAAGGUUUUCGAAUUGUAAACUUCUGUCCUAAGUGAAGAAGGAAGUGACGGUAGCUUAGGAGGAAGCCCCGGCUAACUACGUGCCAGCAGCCGCGGUAAUACGUAGGGGGCAAGCGUUGUCCGGAAUGACUGGGCGUAAAGGGCGUGUAGGCGGCCGAUUAAGUCUGGAGUGAAAGUCCUGCUUUCAAGGUGGGAAUUGCUUUGGAGACUGGUUGGCUUGAGUGCGGAAGAGGUAAGUGGAAUUCCCAGUGUAGCGGUGAAAUGCGUAGAGAUUGGGAGGAACACCAGUGGCGAAGGCGACUUACUGGGCCGUAACUGACGCUGAGGCGCGAAAGCGUGGGGAGCGGACAGGAUUAGAUACCCUGGUAGUCCACGCUGUAAACGAUGAAUGCUAGGUGUUGCGGGUAUCGACCCCUGCAGUGCCGCAGUAAACACAAUAAGCAUUCCGCCUGGGGAGUACGGCCGCAAGGUUGAAACUCAAAGGAAUUGACGGGGGCCCGCACAAGCAGUGGAGUAUGUGGUUUAAUUCGAAGCAACGCGAAGAACCUUACCAGGUCUUGACAUCGUAUGCAUAACAUAGAGAUAUGUGAAAUCCCUUCGGGGACAUAUAGACAGGUGGUGCAUGGUUGUCGUCAGCUCGUGUCGUGAGAUGUUGGGUUAAGUCCCGCAACGAGCGCAACCCCUAUUUUUAGUAGCCAGCAGGUAAAGCUGGGCACUCUAGAGAGACUGCCAGGGAUAACCUGGAGGAAGGUGGGGAUGACGUCAAAUCAUCAUGCCCCUUAUGAUUUGGGCUACACACGUGCUACAAUGGCGUAAACAAAGGGAAGCGAUCACGUGAGUGUGAGCAAAUCUCAAAAAUAACGUCCCAGUUCGGAUUGUAGUCUGCAACUCGACUACAUGAAGCUGGAAUCGCUAGUAAUCGCGAAUCAGCAUGUCGCGGUGAAUACGUUCCCGGGUCUUG
rnacentral:rRNA from 1 species